rnacentral:tRNA from 1 species
GGAGCGGUGUCCGAGUGGUUGAAGGAGGCGGUCUUGAAAACCGUUGAGCCGCAGGGUUCCGGGGGUUCGAAUCCCCCCUGCUCCG